GACGAACGCUGGCGGCGCGCCUAACACAUGCAAGUCGAACGAGCGAGAGAGAGCUUGCUUUCUCGAGCGAGUGGCGAACGGGUGAGUAACGCGUGAGGAACCUGCCUCAAAGAGGGGGACAACAGUUGGAAACGACUGCUAAUACCGCAUAAGCCCACGACCCGGCAUCGGGUAGAGGGAAAAGGAGCAAUCCGCUUUGAGAUGGCCUCGCGUCCGAUUAGCUAGUUGGUGAGGUAACGGCCCACCAAGGCGACGAUCGGUAGCCGGACUGAGAGGUUGAACGGACACAUUGGGACUGAGCCACGGCCCAGACUCCUACGGGAGGCAGCAGUGGGGAAUAUUGCACAGUGGGGGAAACCCUGAUGCAGCGACGCCGCGUGGAGGAAGAAGGUCUUCGGAUUGUAAACUCCUGUUGUCGAGGAAGAUAAUGACGGUACUCAACAAGGAAGUGACGGCUAACUACGUG
rnacentral:rRNA from 1 species